CCUACGGGUGGCAGCAGUGGGGAAUAUUGCACAAUGGGGGAAACCCUGAUGCAGCGACGCCGCGUGAGUGAAGAAGUAUUUCGGUAUGUAAAGCUCUAUCAGCAGGGAAGAAAAAGACGGUACCUGAUUAAGAAGCCCCGGCUAACUACGUGCCAGCAGCCGCGGUAAUACGGAGGGGGCAAGCGUUAUCCGGAUUUACUGGGUGUAAGGGGAGCGUAGACGGCAGCGCAAGUCUGAAGUGAAAGGGCGGGGCUUAACCCCGGAACUGCUUUGGAAACUGUGCAGCUAGAGUGCAGGAGAGGUAAGUGGAAUUCCUAGUGUAGCGGUGAAAUGCGUAGAUAUUAGGAGGAACACCAGUGGCGAAGGCGGCUUACGGGACUGUAACUGACGUUGAGGCUCGAAAGCGUGGGGAGCAAACAGGAUUAGAUACCCGAGUAGUC
rnacentral:rRNA from 1 species